rnacentral:rRNA from 1 species
UACGUAGGUGGCAAGCGUUGUCCGGAUUUAUUGGGCGUAAAGAGCUCGUAGGCGGCUCGGUAAGUCAGGUGUGAAAACUCUAGGCUCAACCUAGAGACGCCACCUGAUACUGCUGUGGCUAGAGUCCGGUAGGGGAGCAUGGAAUUCCUGGUGUAGCGGUGAAAUGCGUAAAUAUAGGAAGGAACACCAGUGGCGAAGGCGACCACCUGGACUGAUACUGACACUGAGGUGCGAAAGCGUGGGGAGCAAACAGG